GUUUAUUUCUUUGACACUUAGAUAUAAUUGAUUAUGUUUCUGAUUUUUCUGUUCUUCAAAUAUAUGUACAUGUAUGGGUUUGAAUGUAUGAUUACAGGAAUUGUCUCUGACAAAGACAUAAUGUUUGACCAUUAAAGAUACUUCUCAUUUAUGGACUGUGGUUAAAUAAUUUGCUAGUGUUGUAGUACUUGGAAGGAACUAUGUCAUUAUAUUGAUGUGGAACCGCCUUGACUCGCAUUAGUAAGUUGUUUAAUUAUGGUAUUAUGAUGACCCAACUGACUAUGGAUUAGAAUGAUGCGCGCCUAAUGUUUAUAUCAUU
rnacentral:lncRNA from 1 species